rnacentral:rRNA from 1 species
GAGCGCAACCCUUGCCAUUAGUUGCUACGAAAGGGCACUCUAAUGGGACUGCCGGUGACAAACCGGAGGAAGGUGGGGAUGACGUCAAGUCCUCAUGGCCCUUAUAGGUGGGGCUACACACGUCAUACAAUGGCCGGUACAGAGGGUAGCCAACCCGCGAGGGGGAGCCAAUCCCACAAAGCCGGUCGUAGUCCGGAUCGCAGUCUGCAACUCGACUGCGUGAAGUCGGAAUCGCUAGUAAUCGCGGAUCAGCAUGUCGCGGUGAAUACGUUCCCGGGUCUU